rnacentral:tRNA from 1 species
GUGGGAUUAGCCAAGUGGUCGACGGCGUCUGACUGUAAAUCAGAUAUUUACACGGUGGUUCGAAUCCACCAUCCCACA